CAAAAAUGGCGUCGGAGGAAUUCCAAAGCCCUCAACACCAUAAAAAUGUUGUUUACAGAGACAUCAUCAUCAGUCCUAGGUUCAGAUCUGUGGCUGCGAUGGCUGGUUGGGAUGAAGAAGCCUUAUUAGCAGCAUCACAAGAUACACCAGAAAGAGAAUCAUCAAAAUCUCAGAAACGAACCAAUUUAGCAUCGAAAUCCCCGCAAACUAAUUCAAGAAGGAAACGUAGGAUUCAAAGACGUAGUCCUGUUACAAACCCUGCAUUAGUUCUUAACCUUGAUAAUGAUGAUGUUGAAGCAAGAGUUACGCGCCAUGACGGGCCCGUUGCUGGCAAAGAACCACAAAUUGAAUCUCUGAAAGAAGAGAGGAAACAAGAAAAUAAGGGCCGUACCGAGCCCAAACCUGACGAAAUGCCGCCUGCAAACCUUCCUUACAUGGAUAAAUUGAGGGAAGAAUUAUCUUGUGCUAUUUGCUUGGAGAUUUGCUUUGAACCAAGUACUACUCCUUGUGGUCACAGUUUUUGCAAGAAAUGUUUGAAAUCUGCAGCGGAUAAAUGCGGUAAAAAGUGCCCGAAAUGCAGACAACUGAUUGGAAAUGGAAGAUCUUGUAUUGUGAAUACAAGUCUUUGGAACACAAUACAGCUUUUGUUUCCACCAGAAGUAGAAGCAAGGAAAGCUGUUGCGGCCAAAAACAGUCGAGAGGAAUUCAAGGAUUCCAUUUCAAGAAGUCCAAGUGGUAGGACUAAUUCAAUGAUGAUGACAAAUCCAAGUAACAUUAGAGUGAGUUCUAGUUCAAGAAAUCAUAGUGGUAGGUCUAAUUUUAUGGGGAUGAAUAGAGUGGAUUCAGUAAGAUUGAGCAGCUCAGCGAGGAUUAGAAGAGCUAGGCCUAGUCAAGCCGAGGAUGCUGUAUUAGCUUUGAGGUUACAAAGAGAAGAGUUUAUGGUGGCUUUUAGGACCGCAGAUGAGCCUCAGCCUCAAGUACCAGCAGAAGCAGCCUCAACUGCCAGAGCAAACCUUAGAGCAAUGGCUUCAAGAGCUGUUGACAUCCGUCUUAGAAGAAGACUGACAUAGUUCUCUAAGAUGCACCUACACCGUCUUUAUCAUCCUUCUGAUUCUGCUGAUGAUUCCAGUCCCAAGGUUCAUCAUUCCCGUUGUAGAGCCAGCAUUAUUUUUUCU